UAGCCAGUGAAGAGCAUGAAGCCA
rnacentral:piRNA from 1 species